ACAAUUCCAGCAACCACACCAGCUACAAUUGGAAUGAUGUCUGGACCAGUGGGACACUCUGGAAAAUAAGAAGGUUUCUAAUAGGCAAUUGGAGAAAUGGGUUUGGAGCUCAAGAAAAGUCUGUGUUGCUGCAGCAUACAAUUGGGUUUUAAAGCCACGAGAGGAAAACUGACAUUUAGGUGGACUGCAAAAAGGGAGGAAGAAAAAAGACACAAAAAGAGGCCUGGAAGGCAAUGGUAA
rnacentral:lncRNA from 10 species